AUGGAGUUUGUGGUGGGUGCUUCGGAAGCCACAAUGAGAUCUCUGCUAGGCAAGCUGGGUGGCCUCCUUGCCCAGGAGUACACUCUGAUCCGAGGAGUACGGGGAGACAUCCAGUACAUCAAUGAUGAGCUCACCAGCAUGCAGGCCUUCCUCGGUGAUGUUAGCUCUGUCCCGGACAGUCAUGACCGCCGGCUGAAGGACUGGAUGAAGCAGAUCCGUGACAUGGCAUAUGACACGGAGGACUGCAUCGAUGACUUUGCCCACCGCCUCCCUCGCGACUCCCUCGGCGAUGUCAGAUGCUCCUUCAUAGUGACGAUAGUCUAUGAACUCUGGACGUUGGGGCCUCGCCGUGACAUUGCCUCCAAGAUUGCUGAACUCAAGAUCCGGGCACAACAGAUUGCUGAAAGGCGUGGCAGAUACGGAGUGGACAACCCAGGCAACAGUAACAGCAGCAGCUCUUUAGCCGUAGCCCCCCGCAUCACUAGGCAUGACAUUGCUGAGCAUCUGAUGGGUAGCCGUCAGCUCAUCCGUACAGAGAGGCCCUUGGGUGUGGCAGCAGACAUGAAAAAGUUUGGAGAUUGGCUAAAGAAAUGUGAUGAUGCUUCUGGAAAGCAUCAAGCUGUUCUGUCCAUAGUCGGUUUCGGUGGCAUUGGAAAGACCACCAUUGCAACGGCAUUGUACCGAGACUUCAGGAAUGAAUUUGACUGCCGGGCCUCAGUCACUGUUUCUCAGAAUUACGACGAGGAUGAAGUGCUCAGGGAUAUUCUGACUCAAAUCAAGCCACAUGACAGCGAACAUGACCUACAAGAAAGUAGCAAAGGAGGUUUGGAGGAAAGAAGCCUAGCUACAGAUAUUAAAAGCUCAGUGAAGAGAGUUCUCCCUCUGAUCUUCGGCCAAAGGCAGCAGGGCAAUGAUGGCAGCUCUAAAUGGACACAGAACAAGAUAGAAACAAUGAACCGUGAUCAACUCGUUGAAGAACUGGAAGGGCGACUCAAUGGAAAGAGGUAUCUCCUUUUGAUUGAUGACAUAUGGUCUUCGGAAACAUGGGAUAAGAUCAGAAGUUGGUUGCCACGUGAGAAUACAAAAGAUAGUAGAGUAAUAGUGACUACAAGAUUUCAAGCUGUGGGUGCAGCUUGCUCCGAAGGAAAUGUAAUUGAUCAUUUGCAUACAGUUGAUGCCCUUAAUGACAUCGACUCCAGAAAAUUGUUUUAUCACAGUGUUUAUGAAUCCAAAAAUAGCAAGAAAGAACAGGUGCAUGAGGACAUCUGGAAAUAUUGUGGGGGGCUGCCUUUGGCGAUAGUUAGCAUGGCUGGUCUUGUCGCAUGCAACCCCAAAAAACAAAAUGACCACUGGAAUACAGUUUGCAAGUCAUUAUUUCCAGAGCAGGUGGCUCCACUUACCUUGGAUGGUGUCACAAUGAUACUCGAUUAUUGCUACAAUGAUUUGCCUGCAGACCUCAAGACCUGUUUAUUGUACUUGAGCAUAUUUCCCAAGGGUUGGAAAAUUAGCAGGAAGCGUUUGACAAGGCGUUGGAUAUCUGAAUGCUUUGUCAGUGGGAAGCAAGGGCUGACCGAGGAGGAAGUUGCAGAAACAUACUUUAAUCAGCUCAUAAGAAGGAAGAUAAUACACCCUUUGGAGCACAGCAGCAAUGGGAAGGUAAAAUCGUUCAAAGUUCAUGACAUGAUCCUUGAAUACAUUGUGUCCAAGUCAAGCGAAGAGAAUUUCAUUACUGUUGUUGGUGGCCACUGGCUGAUGCCAGCACCUGGCAAUAAAGUCCGUCGACUCUCGAUGCAGAGCAGUGGUUCCAAGCAUGGGAAUUCGACAAAAGGCAUGAACUUGUCUCAAGUGCGAUCACUGACUGUGUUUGGAAGCAUGAACAAGCUGCCUUUCCAUUCAAUCAAUAAUGGGAUAAUUCAAGUGUUGGAUCUUGAGGGUUGGAAGGGUUUGACACAUAACCAUCUGAAUGACAUAUGUCGAAUGCUUGUACUGAAGUAUUUGAGCCUCCGAAGAACAGAGGUUGCGAUGAUUCCCUCCAAGAUUGAGAAGCUUCAGUAUCUAGAAACUCUUGACAUAAGGGAGACAAAUGUUGCCGUCCUGCCCAAAGCUUUCGGCCAGCUCCAACGGCUCCGCAGCAUGUUUGGAGGGAGUAAACACCCACGGAAGGCGUUAAAAUUGCCUCAAGAAAAAAAUAAGGUGCAAAUGAAAGCACUUCGUAUACUGUCAGGGAUUGAGAUCACCGAGGGCUCAACAGGUGUAGCAAGCCUCCAUCAGCUCACUGGGCUAAAGAAACUUGCCAUUUACAGGCUGAACAUAGAGACGGAUGGACAGACCUCCACACAAUUGCGCUCCUCUAUUGGGUAUCUCUGCAGCUGCGGCCUGCAGACUCUGGCAAUCAAUGAUGAGAGUUCUGGUUUUAUCAACACACUGGAUUCCAUGCCUGCUCCUCCAAGAUACCUCAUCGCCCUCGAGCUGUCGGGCAAGUUGGAAAGAGCUCCAAAGUGGAUCAAGAAUCUCAAAACUCUAUACAAGCUAACCCUUUCGAUAACAGUUCUCCGGGCUGAUACUUUGGAGCUCCUCUGCGACCUACCUAAACUGUUCUGUCUCACCUUCUCACUCAAUGCAGCGAAGCAGCACCAGGAGGACAUAGAGGACAUGCUUCAGGAAAAUAAACGCUUAGGUGGUGGGGAGAUCGUUGUUCCACCUGGAGGUUUCGAGAACCUAAAGCUGCUUCGCUUCUUUGCCACUAUUGUGCCAAGGCUGACUUUUGCAGCUGAGGCAAUGCCGGCAGUCGAGAGGAUCGAUAUGCGGUUGCAAGCCUUCGAAGGGGUUUACGGCAUCGACAGACUUAAAAGUAUCCAAGAGGUGCAUCUCAGCGUUGACAAUCAAGCAGAUGAAGCAACCAAAUACUUGGUUGGAUAUCUGAAGAACAACACACAGAAGCCAAAAAUAAUCACUGAUUGA
rnacentral:rRNA from 1 species